rnacentral:tRNA from 1 species
AACUGGAUAGCCUAGUGGUCAAAGGCAGCACUUCUACCAAUGAUGAGGUCCCAGGUUCAAAUCCUGGUCUAGUCA